rnacentral:rRNA from 1 species
AACGUAGGUACCGAGCGUUAUCCGGAUUUACUGGGCGUAAAGCGCGUUCAGGCGGUUUGGCAAGUCGGGCAUGAAAUCUCUCGGCUCAACCGGGAGAGGUUGUCCGAUACUGCCGGACUUGAGGGCAGUAGAGGGUGGUGGAAUUCCGGGUGUAGUGGUGAAAUGCGUAGAUAUCCGGAGGAACACCAGUGGCGAAAGCGGCCACCUGGACUGCACCUGACGCUGACACGCGAAAAGCUAGGGGGAGCGAACGGGG